rnacentral:rRNA from 1 species
CCAGACAACUAGGAUGUUGGCUUAGAAGCAGCCAUCAUUUAAAGAGUGCGUAAUAGCUCACUAGUCGAGUGACACUGCGCCGAAAAUGUACCGGGGCUAAACAUAUUACCGAAGCUGUGGAUUGUCCUUUGGACAAUGGUAGGAGAGCGUUCUAAGGGCGUUGAAGCAUGAUCGCAAGGACAUGUGGAGCGCUUAGAAGUGAGAAUGCCGGUGUGAGUAGCGAAAGACGGGUGAGAAUCCCGUCCACCGAUUGAC